CGCAGGCGGAUGGCGUUGGGCAGCGGGCGCCCGUUCACGAACACGCCGCCCAGCUGGUUCACCUCGCCAAAUAUCAGGAUUACUGAAUGGAAAUAUCAAGGAUAUUAGAUAGGAAUGCCAAGGAUGUUCUUCUGCUGCAGCAGCUGGAGAUGACAAUAAAGGAACGCUGGGGCUCUUACAGGAUUUUAUGGAGCUCCUUUUCCAUCGGGAUCAAACCAAACUGGAAAAUCCUGCGGGAUCAGACACUCUGAAAUUCCCCAGGAGUUGGAGGAUCCCAAAAAAUCUUCCUGGUCGCUGAAGAAGAGCGUUUGAGAGCUCAGAAAAUAAAAUCCUUCUCCAGAGCUUCCCUCUGAGCAUCUCUAUCAGGUCUGUUAAGGCCACAGGUUCAAUAAUAAACAAUAAUAUUUGUCAAAAGUGAUUUUCUUCCGUAAAAUCCCUCCCUGCCAGAGGCUCCUUAAAUGCACCCGGAUUAAAACCACACCAAACCCCCCAGGAGUUUUUCCGUUUGAAUUUUUUUCCCCUAAAAAACCCUCUGCGGUCUGUGAUCGGGGAUUCUCAACGUGAAAACGAGAGCGGGAUCCUAGAUCCUUUAAAUAAAAAAUUGCUGAUGGGAAAGGUUGCUGAUCCGAGGGCAACAACGCUCCGAGGGAGUGUUGAAAAUCC